AUCUGAAUCACUUGGAGAUCUUGUUAAAAUGCAGAUUCUGAUGCAGUAAAAGGGGUGCAAUCACCCCUCCUCCGCCAACUCUCAGAAUGUGGUGUAUCUUUCCCAUGUCACUUCACUGAACACAGUUGUUUUUAGCCAUCUGUCAGAGAUUCUGCACUUCUAACAAGCUCCCAGAUGAUAAUGAU
rnacentral:pre_miRNA from 1 species